ACACGUAGGGCGCAAGCGUUGUCCGGAUUUAUUGGGCGUAAAGGGCUCGUAGGCGGUUUCGUAAGUCGGGUGUGAAAACUCAGGGCUCAACCCUGAGACGCCACUCGAUACUGCGAUGACUUGAGUCCGGUGGGGGAGCAGGGAAUUCCUGGUGUAGCGGUGAAAUGCGCAGAUAUCAGGAGGAACACCAUUAGCGAAGGCGCUGCUCUGGGCCGGUACUGACGCUGAGGAGCGAAAGCAUGGGGAGCAAACAGGAUUAGAAACCCUAGUAGUCC
rnacentral:rRNA from 1 species